UUAAAUGAAGCCAAGUUAGAGGCAUUUUAUUGUUAAUAAAAUAAUUGAAUUUUUUUUUCCAUUUAAA
rnacentral:tRNA from 1 species